AGAGCCAAUCCAGCGAUUGUGUCUCACGCAGGUGAGCCGCAGGUGGGCAGCUGCCAAGUGGUGACGCUGGAGCGCCGCGGCGGCCACCCCAGACGAAACGUCGCCCGGCAGACGGCCCGCUGCGCUUGCGUCCCGGGACAAAUGGCCGGCGCCACCCGCGCCCGCCCCGCCUGCGUACGCGCCGACAUCGUGCUGAGUCGUCAGUGGUGCCGGAUGAGUCCGUGUCUGGACGGCGAGGGCUGCGAAUUGCUCGUCAAUCAGUCGGGCUGGACCUGCACGCAACCGGGGGGACGAGUCAAGACCACCACGGUCUCCUGACAGCGAUGACGACGAGGACGGAAAACUCCCAACCUGCAACUCGCGAGCGCAGCCAAAACUGGCUGAUGUUGGACAUCCAAAGCAAUGAAAGCGAGCCGUCGUGUCGGAAUCAAGUUUGCCUUUCAGGAGAUUUUUUUUUUUUUCCUGAAAGUCAAAGACAAAGACUUUAGAAGACAUCAAGUCCAGGAGGACAUGUUGGGAUAUUGGACCUAGAAAGUGCAGAAUAGAUCAGGUCAACAACACGUAAGGACUAUUCAUUAGUAUGAUAAUGAUUUCUGCACAUCAUGAAGUUCGGGGAAAAUUAUCCUUUUUUUUGGACAGGUUAAAUUACAAAAAAAAA